UUCCAGACUCCUACGGGAGGCAGCAGUGGGGAAUAUUGCACAAUGGGGGAGACCCUGAUGCAGCAACGCCGCGUGAGUGAAGAAGUAUUUCGGUAUGUAAAGCUCUAUCAGCAGGGAAGAGAAUGACGGUACCUGACUAAGAAGCCCCGGCUAACUACGUGCCAGCAGCCGCGGUAAUACGUAGGGGGCGAGCGUUAUCCGGAUUUAUUGGGUUUAAAGGGUGCGCAGGCGGAUUUUUAAGUCAGCGGUCAAAUCGUGGGGCUCAACCCCAUCCAGCCGUUGAAACUGGGGAUCUAGAGUGUGCGAGAGGUAUGCGGAAUGCGUGGUGUAGCGGUGAAAUGCAUAGAUAUCACGCAGAACCCCGAUUGCGAAGGCAGCAUACCGGUGCACAACUGACGCUCAGGCACGAAAGCGUGGGUAUCGAACAGGAUUAGAUACCCGGGUAUG
rnacentral:rRNA from 1 species